UACGGAGGGGGCAAGCGUUAUUCGGAAUUAUUGGGCGUAAAGGGCGCGUAGGCGGCUUGGCAAGUGGAAGGUGAAAUCCCUCGGCUUAACCUAGGAACUGCCCUCCAAACUGCUUCGCUUGAGACCGGGAGAGGUGAGUGGAAUUCCCAGUGUAGCGGUGAAAUGCGUAGAUAUUGGGAGGAACACCAGUGGCGAAGGCGGCUCACUGGACCGGUACUGACGCUGAUGCGCGAAAGCGUGGGGAGCAAACGGG
rnacentral:rRNA from 1 species